rnacentral:tRNA from 1 species
UGUAAAAUAAGCUAAAUAUUAAGCUUUUGGGUUCAUACCCCAAAUAUGAAUGGUUUAUUCUUUUACAG